AAGUCGUAACAAGGUUUCCGUAGGUGAACCUGCGGAAGGAUCAUUACCGAGUUCGGGUACGCAACCAAAGUGCCCAACCUCCAACCCUGUGUCUACUACACCUUGUGUUGCUUCGGUGGGCCCGUCUGGGUAAAACUGGACCGUCGGAGGGGCGUCAAAUCCCCUCUGGCCCGCGCCCGCCCGACAGCCAAACCACACAAAACUCUUGCACCAACCGUGGUCUGAAACGGAAAAAAUUGAAUACCUAAAAAAACUUUCAACAACGGAUCUCUUGGUUCUG
rnacentral:misc_RNA from 1 species